rnacentral:lncRNA from 1 species
GAGAGCCUUGAAAUGUGUCUCCUGCAGCAGAGAAAUGCAAAGCAUGGACACCUGGCCCAGCCUGGAAACGCAUGAGUGAGGGAGCCAGGGGUCUGCCUCCCCCAGAAACAUCUCCAUGGGAAGCCUGAGGUCGGCAUGACCAUUGUUUCUCCGAUUCUCCUCCCAUCAUCUCUGAGCAAGGGAAAAAUAAACCUGUGUGGUCAGCACUGGACCAGAAUAAGAGAAUUAUCCAGAACCUCCGAGGCCCCUGGUUCGUCAAUGUCCCCUGCUCCGGCUUCUUUCCAAAUAUGUUUAUAUCCUGUCCCCGACUCUCCGAAAACAAGAGGCACAAGUGUCAGCUGUGUGUUUAAAUAAAUAAAUCUCCAUCAACCCCAAAGGACAAAUCCGGA